rnacentral:rRNA from 1 species
CAGCAUUGCGACCCCAG